rnacentral:misc_RNA from 1 species
CAGAGUUGUCGCCCUCGCGGGUAGAUCUCCCACCCACUGUUAUUGCUACCGCGUUGCUUUGGCGGGCUGCUGGGCCUAGCCCGGCCGCCGGCUCCGGCCGGGGCGCGCCCACCGAAGACACCAUUGAACUCUGUCUGAAGAUUGCAGUCUGAGCAUAAACUAAAUAAGUUA